UCAUACUGAAAACACUGGUUCUCAUUCAAUCACUGAAGUUAAGCCAUGUUAAGCUUAGUUAAUAGUUGGGGGGGGGACCAUUUGGGAAGACCUGGA